GCUUGCUUUGGCACGCAUAUGCUAAAAUUGAAAUGAUACAGAGACUAGCAUGGCCCCUGCACAAGGAUGGCAUGCAAGUUAAUGAAGUGUUCCAUAUUAAA
rnacentral:snRNA from 1 species